rnacentral:lncRNA from 1 species
ACCAGAGUAGAAAAAUAUGGUUCGAAAUAGAUUAAAAUAGUAAGAAAAAUGGGGCUUAGAUCCAAGGAGAAUAGAAGAGGAGGGAAGAGAGCUCAUCGGUGAUCAACAAAAGUGGCGAAUCAUGUUUGAUGGCAGCAAUUUUUCGACAUUUCAAAAGGUAUGAAAUCGAGCAAAAAUAGGGCAUUAGGGAGAAAAAGAGGUGUUUUGGGUGGCCAAAUUUGACCUAUGGUGUUUUGUCGGCCA